UACAUGGGGUGCAAACGUUGCUCGGAAUUAUUGGGCGUAAAGCGCACGUAGGCGGUUCGUUAAGUCGGAUGUGAAAGCCCUCGGUUCAACUGAGGAAGUGCACCCGAAACUGGCGAGCUUGAGUACGAAAGAGGAUCGCGGAAUUCCCGGUGUAGAGGUGAAAUUCGUAGAUAUCGGGAGGAACACCGGUGGCGAAGGCGGCGAUCUGGGUCGAUACUGACGCUGAGGUGCGAAAGCGUGGGGAGCAAACAGG
rnacentral:rRNA from 1 species